GUUUAGUUAUAAAUGGGGGUUGUUCUGAGAUAAUCUUUGCUGAUGUUUAGCCGUUUAGGGUGAUAGUCCAUGCUGAAAACAUGUAUAACCGUUCCGAUGGGAAUUAGAGAAAGAGAAGACAAAGGUUUCAGGUGUUCAUUAGUUAUAAAGGGUGGUUGUUCUGGAAUAAUCAAAAUGAAGGAACAGAGAAUUCAGUCUUGGAGUUUCUGCUUUAGAGCUGCAAUUUGAAAUAGAAACACAUGGGUAGUGCCAUGCGACUGAUCUUAACUAGCUGAGUUUGAGAAUACUGGUUUUGUAUCAAUGCAGCCAUAUGUAAGGAAUCUGGGAUGUAUUGAAUUAGUAUGAAACCGUGCACUCACGCAUUAGUUUUUAGAAAAUGACAUUAGUGAAAUAUGUUCAGAAAAAUGCUUAUAAGUUUCUGAAAGACAUCAGGUUGCAUUUUGUAAUUUGUAGGAAAGCUACAAACUGUUGAAAUAGAAAUGCCAGGGCUCAAGUUGCAGCAUUGCUUGUAUGAUGUAUGCUCCUUCCAUGUCAGAACUGAAGUAGCAAUAACCUUCAGAAAGAAGUGCUAUGUGAUUUGGUGAUUACCAAAAACCAAAUGUAGUGGUACUGUACAUUGAUUAAGGUAUUUAGGAAACGUUAGGUGCAUUGAGUACAUUUAUUUUUUGAAGUACACUGACUCGUUCGUGCGCUUGAAGCUGGACUUGAAACAUCAAUGUGGAAGCUAUAUGGUGUGAUCUUAUUAAACUGGGGUGUAAUUUAUGAGCAGGAUCAGGAUGUGCAUUGGAUCAGCAGGACCAUCUAGGGGUACUAGCUCUUGAAAAGGAAAUUAGGGGAUUCGCUGAGAACUCAUCUGAGAGUGUGAUCAUGCCUAAAUCAGGAAAAAGUGCUGGCUCAUUGAGGGGAGGCCUACGAUUUUUACAACCUUUAUUCUUGGGAGAAAGGUUUUUGUAUUAGGUAUGGCCAGAUCAGGUUGAAUGUAGAAAUGACGAGAUGUAUGCAGCAGAUAGUAUUUGGUCGCGAAGGAAAAGCAGGAAUCGAGAACACGAGGUCAUUUCCAGAGUGUGGUUUUAGCCGGGGUCCUUGUCCGCGAUGAAACAGUUCAAAGUUUCAACUGCGUAUUCUCUGAGUUCCUUUAUUUCAUGGGAGGGGUUGCGCCUAAAACAUACUAAGCAAUGGAUGUGCUUCUUCAUUUUCAGGCCAAAACUAAGAAAUGGAUGUCGUGAUCCAGAGUGUGAUGCCAAGCACUGGUUGUGUAAAUGGCAUGUGUUGAAGAAGUUGUAGGAGACGUUUGGACCACUAUACACGAAGAAGAAUAAAUUCCAUGCAGAGUUCCCACAAGGUAGUCAACCAUAUGUUAACUAUCGAUGAG